CAAAGGAGGAACCUCCGCCGCGCUUCAGCUUCAUACCUCUGUGCUGAGUAUUUCGGGCGUGCAUCCCUUUCUUGCCACCCCCGUCCCUUUCCACUCGUUCUGCUGUUGCAGAGACAGUGCGGAUCCCUCUUUUUUUGUUUGGUCUUGUCCUGAGCGACGCCCUCUCCCCACUUCCAUUCCUCUCGCUCUUUGAAACGCAGAGGCGGUAGCAUGCCGGGAUGGCGGCGAUGACCAAAGACGUGAUUGUGGCCUCGUGCAAGGCCAAUGGCGGCUACGCCGCGCCGUGCCUCAACGAUCAGCUCUUUCUUCACUGCUGCGGUUUCACCUUGAUUCAGAACCUGGAGCCGUACAAGGAUGUGAAGGUGCUGUGGCUCGAGCAAAACGCGCUUUCCGAGCUCAGCGGCUUGGAGAGCCAAAAAGACACUCUCGUUUCUCUCUUUGUGCAGAACAACCUCAUUCGGUCACUAUCAUCGUUGACGGCGACUCUCCACGGCCUGCGCGUGCUGAACGUGUCGCACAACUACCUGACCUCUCUCCACGGCAUUGCCGCGGGGUGUCCGUCGCUGGAGACGUUGCAGGCGUCUCAUAACCAGCUCACGUCUCUCGAAGUGUGCGAGGAGCUCUGGCAGCUGGCUGGCAGCCUCACCAGUGUCGACUUGUCCUUCAACCGCAUCGAGACCGCCCGCGAGCCGGCCGGCAGAGCCGUCACAGCCCCCGGCGCUACCGCCACCACCGCGGCCGUGGGAGAGUCAGAGUGCACUGCAGACGACGGCGAUGUUCGCAUAGUCGACGCUUCGGACAUCAGCGCCAUCGCACCCGUCGCUGUCUCCACCACGGCGGUUGCGCUUCCCAAGCCGGACCCGCUCGCCAUAGCACAGUUUUUCCAGCACCUCCCGCUGGUCAGCGUCAUCUAUUUCCAAGGUAACGGACUGUCCCACUGCUUGCGUCACUAUCGACGCAACAUGAUCCUGCACCUGCCCGCCCUCACCUACCUCGAUGACCGUCCCAUUUUUUCAGAGGAGCGCCGUGUGACGGAGGCGUGGGGCCGCGGCGGAGACACGGCCGAGGCGGCCGAGCGUGCGACUAUCCGCGAGGAAAAGCGUGCACAUCUCACCCGGUGCGUAACGUUGCUGACAGAACAGCGAGAGGAGCAACGGGCGGUGCGGGAUCGUCUGACGCGGCAGCUUGACCAGCGCCGCGCGCAGGAGCUGGAGGAGCUGACUCAGCGGCGUCGGCGCGACCGCGACAACCGCGCCGCCGUGGAGUCUGCAGAGGCUGUCGCCCGUGACGUUGUGGAGAAGGCGGAGCAGGAUGCUCGCUGGGACGCUGAGGAGCUCUUCCAGGAGGCCCACAGGGCCAUGUUGGUGGCCGAGACGGAGCGCCGCCACGCCUACGAGCAGCGUGUGGCUGUGAAAGAGGCUGCACAGGCCGCGGCGGAGGAGGCGGUGGCAGAGCGCAAGGCGGAAACUGGUGCUGGCAGCGGCGACGACGACAGCGACACCGCCAGUGCCGCCGCGGCUGCUGCCCUGAAGGUGCUCGAGGACGCGGCGACGUGUUCGCCCGACGGAUUCUCCUCCACGUGCCGUGACAUUGAUGCCACCGACACGAUCGCGACGACACUCGAGACGCCUCUCUCCCCACCUUCGAGCGUUCUUGCCGCACUACUGCAGUUGGAUGACGACGUUCUGAAAGAGAUGGAGAUGGAGAUUGAGCACGUGCUCCAUGACAUCAACUCCAACGCACUCCCCACCAAGUACGCUUCGACCGCCCUCGACGCUGGGGCAGGGGAGCUCGAUCACAGUCGCGCCAUGUUCUCAGGCCACCAGGUCUGGGACCGCGCCACGUUGCGUAUGGAGAAGAAUGUGCGUGCCGCGGUAGGACACGUGUCGAAGCAGCUGCGGGCACAGCGGAAUCAACAGCGGCGUCGCAGCUCUGACGUGCUACAGGAAGAGGUGUGGCAACGUUUCGAGGAAUGGAAAGCGCGCCGGGCCUCUCAGCCGUUGGAUUUGUAGGACAGAGAGAGUAAGAGAGGCGGAGCAGGAAGAUACCACUCUUCCUGCUCUGUAUUUUGUUCUUUUUCUAUUCUCGCUUCAACUGUUCUUCUCCUCCUCCCUAUAGACCGUGCCACGUGCCUCUUCGCGAUUGCUUCUAACGUGCGUUUCUCUGCAGAUUGCAUGCUUGUAGGCCUUUUCUCUCCUCUCCACGUACCCUCUCCCCUCUCCCCCACCCCCUUUCCGCGGCUUUCGCUGUCUUUCUCAGUCCUCUGCAUGAUGUAGAUAUGCCACCGCUGCGCUGUGCUUUGAAUCCGAUAAAGUAGCGCUUACAGCUCCGUCUUCCUCAUUUUUUUUUUGUGUGUGCGCGGCCUCGCUGUGAUUGUCCUCUGGGUGGGGUGAGGUGCCGUGCUGCGUGUGUUUGAAAGAGGAAGCAAAGACGAAGGAGGGCAUCGCUGUGGUGGUGCAGAGCUGUGCAACGCAGGGAUGCAUCCAGCCUUGAGCCCUCCCUGGACUCUUCGCAGCACCUCCGGUGUUUGUUGCCGCUGUCUCCCCAUGUAGUUCCCCACUCGUGUAACGCGAUCGGUGAGCAAGAGUCAGUGCGCUCACUCGGCCCCGUCCCCUUCAUUCUCUCUGCCCUCCUCCCUCUCCGUGCUUGCACACAUAGGAGUGCAGCUCCGCUCGUUACUUGUCAAAGGCUCUGU
rnacentral:misc_RNA from 1 species